GCGCAGCAGUCGCGAAUUUUCUCAAUGGGGCAACCCUGAAGGAGCGACGCCGCGUGGAGGAUGAAGGCUUUCGGGUUGUAAACUCCUGUCAUUUGAGAACAAGGCUUACUAGUUAACUGCUAGUAAGUUGAUAGUAUCAGAAGAGGAAGAGACGGCUAACUCUGUGCCAGCAGCCGCGGUAAUACAGAGGUCUCAAGCGUUGUUCGGAUUCAUUGGGCGUAAAGGGUGCGUAGGUGGCGCGCUAAGUCAGGUGUGAAAUCUCGGGGCUUAACUCCGAAACUGCAUUUGAUACUGGCGUGCUUGAGGACUGGAGAGGAGACUGGAAUUCAUGGUGUAGCAGUGAAAUGCGUAGAGAUCAUGAGGAAGACCAGUGGCGAAGCGGGUCUCUGGACAGUUCCUGACACUGAGGCACGAAGCCA
rnacentral:rRNA from 1 species